GCUGAUGACCCUGCUGGAACCUGCACCAUGAUCUCCACAGUGCCUCCAGCUUCAGAUGAAGAAAAAGGGGAUGAACAGGAUGUUUCAAACCCAUAUCAUGUCUACAGCUCCAUAUCUGACAUGCCAAGUGUCACCAACCAAAGGGACCAGACCUACAGCCUGCAGCAGGACCACAGGAGUGGGGUAACACAGAACAUGACCUACAGCCUGCUGCAGAUGCCCUGAUACAGCUGCUGUGCAGUAGGAAACAUUAGCCAUGCACUGCUACUAUAAUACAUCUCAUGGAAUUUCAUUUUGAGAUCAAUUUAGCUGAUAAUAACCACCAAAAUGUGAAGUUGGUUGUAUCACGUGUUAAAUUCACAAAAGAAGCUAAAGAGAAAAAAAAGCUAAAUAUGUCCUCAACUUUUUACUAUGGAUUUUACUGUGUAUGGCUGUUUAUUGUUUUUGAUUGUGUCACAAAAGUUUGGGUAUGAUAUCACACAAUUUCUGAAAAAUCACUCAAACAGCAAAACCCUAUGCACAAUCAGCAAAACGUUAAGCUAAUUAUAAGCCUUUUGAAUAUCAUAAAGCCCUUUCUGUGAAACAGGCCUUUGUAUUUCUUAAAGACACUGCCCCACAAAGUUUAGGGUUUCAUUUUGCUGAUUUGUUUUGCAUUUUGUUUGUGAAGUUUUGUGAAUUGUCAGUAGAGUUUGAACCAUAGUUCAAACAAAAUGAGCCAUAGUUUUGAAAAUGUGUGUUAAGUUGUAAAAACUGUAGAUGGUUUUACUUAAACUUUGGUAUUUUACUUGGUA